AAUUCGUGAUGUGGGUAGUCUCUCAGUAUUCCCUUAAAUCUAGCUUAACCUUCAUAGAGAGAUUCAGAAUCUGCUUGUUUGAAACUUGCAAUUAGAUUUCUGAGAUG